rnacentral:rRNA from 1 species
AGUGAACGCUGGCGGUAGGCCUAACACAUACAAGUCGAACGGCAGCACAGUAAGAGCUUGCUCUUACGGGUGGCGAGUGGCGGACGGGUGAGGAAUACAUCGGAAUCUACUUUUUCGUGGGGGAUAACGUAGGGAAACUUACGCUAAUACCGCAUACGACCUACGGGUGAAAGCAGGGGAUCUUCGGACCUUGCGCGAUUGAAUGAGCCGAUGUCGGAUUAGCUAGUUGGCGGGGUAAAGGCCCACCAAGGCGACGAUCCGUAGCUGGUCUGAGAGGAUGUUCAGCCACACUGGAACUGAGACACGGUCCAGACUCCUACGGGAGGCAGCAGUGGGGAAUAUUGGACAAUGGGCGCAAGCCUGAUCCAGCCAUACCGCGUGGGUGAAGAAGGCCUUCGGGUUGUAAAGCCCUUUUGUUGGGAAAGAAAAGCAGCAGGUUAAUACCCCGCUGUUCUGACGGUACCCAAAGAAUAAGCACCGGCUAACUUCGUG